GCCCGUAUAGCUCAGUGGUAGAGCGCAUCACUCGUAAGAAAAAUUGACUUGAUAUGAUGAGGUCCGCGGUUCAAUCCCGCGUGGGGGCA